rnacentral:rRNA from 1 species
UACGUAGAUGGCAAGCGUUAUCCGGAAUUAUUGGGCGUAAAGCGCGCGCAGGCGGUUUCUUAAGUCUGAUGUGAAAGCCCACGGCUCAACCGUGGAGGGUCAUUGGAAACUGGGGAACUUGAGUGCAGAAGAGAAAAGCGGAAUUCCACGUGUAGCGGUGAAAUGCGUAGAGAUGUGGAGGAACACCAGUGGCGAAGGCGGCUUUUUGGUCUGUAACUGACGCUGAGGCGCGAAAGCGUGGGGAGCAAACAGG